rnacentral:rRNA from 1 species
AGAUUGAACGCUGGCGGCAUGCCUUACACAUGCAAGUCGAACGGUAACAGGUCUUCGGACGCUGACGAGUGGCGAACGGGUGAGUAAUACAUCGGAACGUGCCCAGUCGUGGGGGAUAACUACUCGAAAGAGUAGCUAAUACCGCAUACGAUUCUAAGGAUGAAAGCGGGGGACCUUCCGGGCUCGCGCGAUUGGAGCGGCCGAUGGCAGAUUUAGGUAGUUGGUGGGAUAAAAGCUUAACCAAGCCGACGAUCUGUAGCUGGUCUGAGAGGACGACCAAGCCACCCUGGGACUGAGACACGGCCCAGACUCUACGGGAGGCAGCAGUGGGGAAUUUUGGACAAUGGGCGAAAGCCUGAUCCCAGCAAUGCCGCGUGCAGGAUGAAGGCCUUCGGGUUGUAAACUGCUUUUGUACGGAACGAGAAAGCUUCUCCUAAUACGAGAGGCCCAUGACGGUACCGUAAGAAUAAGCACCGGCUAACUACGUGCCAGCAGCCGCGGUAAUACGUAGGGUGCGAGCGUUAAUCGGAAUUACUGGGCGUAAAGCGUGCGCAGGCGGUUAUGUAAGACAGAUGUGAAAUCCCCGGGCUCAACCUGGGAACUGCAUUUGUGACUGCAUGGCUAGAGUACGGUAGAGGGGGAUGGAAUUCCGCGUGUAGCAGUGAAAUGCGUAGAUAUGCGGAGGAACACCGAUGGCGAAGGCAAUCCCCUGGACCUGUACUGACGCUCAUGCACGAAAGCUGGGGAGCAAACAG